AUUGAUUACAUACUCGGUAAAAGCCUUCAAAAUAUGAGUUAAUAUUUUGAGUACCACUCCCCAAAAGCCACAACAUAACUCAUGUUUUGUGGGUUUCUACCGAGUAUG